AGCCUUUAGCUAAGCAAGUAUUAAAGGUCCCGCCUGCCCAGUGAUUUUUUCAACGGCCGCGGUAUUCUAACCGUGCAAAGGUAGCGUAAUCACUUGUCUUUUAAAUAAAGACCUGUAUGAAUGGCUAAAUGAGGAUAAACCUGUCUCAUAUAACUAAUCAGUGAAACUGAUCUUCCAGUACAAAAGCUGGGAUAACCACAUAAGACGAGAAGACCCUGUGGAGCUUAAAACAACCACUAAACAAUCACCCAAUUGACUUAGUGCUCGUUUUCAGUUGGGGCGACUUCGGAAUAAAAAACAACUUCCGAGCACAGAGCCAUAACCUCUAACCGAGGCCAACAAGCCAAAGCAUUAAAAUCGACCCGGCCUAAGCCGAUCAACGAACCAAGUUACCCCAGGGAUAACAGCGCAAUCUUCUUCGAGAGCCCCUAUCAACAAGAAGGUUUACGACCUCGAUGUUGGAUCAGGACACCCAAAUGGUGCAGCCGCUAUUAAUGGUUCGUUUGUUCAACGAUUAACAGUCCUACGUGAUC
rnacentral:rRNA from 1 species